GUAGUCCACGCUGUAAACGAUGGGUGCUAGGUGUCGGGGGUAUCGACCCCUCCGGUGCCGCAGCUAACGCACUAAGCACCCCGCCUGGGGACUACGGCCGCAAGGCUAAAACUCAAAGGAAUUGACGGGGGCCCGCACAAGCAGCGGAGCGUGUGGUUUAAUUCGAUGCAACGCGAAGAACCUUACCCGGACUUGACGUGCAGGUGGUACCAAAGCGAAAGCGGCGGGACCCGCAAGGGAGCCUGUGCAGGUGCUGCACGGCUGUCGUCAGCUCGUGCCGUGAGGUGUUGGGUUAAG
rnacentral:rRNA from 1 species